UUUUUUCGUUUCCUAAAUUUCUUAUUUUUGUCCUUGCAAGUGGUCCUGUCUGGUGUGAACCGUCAGCACAGAUGGCCUCCUGGAGCUUCCCCGAGUCGUUCGCUGGGGGAAGCGGGCGGUGAGCGGCCAGCCCGGGCGCUCCGCAGGCCGCGAGCUCCCGGCAGGGCUGGUGGCGGGGGUCCGCCUGGGGGAGGAAUCCCCGCCUGCUCCAUCGGACCCGGCCUGGCGCGGCUCGCGGCGCUCGGCGGGCUCCCUUCCAUUCUAGAAUCUUCCCGCUUGCUUCCCAGCCCGCGUUCUUCCGCCUGCCUUUAAUUGUGUAAGUUUGACGAAGUCAGAGCUUUGGGUUCCAGGAAAAGCGCAGGAGGGUCAUAGAGGAAGGGAGGGCGCAGGUUGGAGUCAGGUCCAAACAGUCCCUAUCGCCACUUUUGAAAAAAAAAAAAAACAACAAAAACCCUUAAGGUUGGUUUUAUUUUGCCUUUUGGUAGCGGGCGUAUUCAUUUAGAUUUUUUUUUCAAGACAGGCAAAUAAAAGGUGUUUGAAAUCUCUAGUUAUCCCGUUUAACACACCCAUCGAUGGCGCUUUUCUAGUUAAGCUACGGGGGAAACGUCUUUAUCCCGCAGUUAGGCUGCGAACUUGUGCAGAUGCUCAGGCUUUGUGGAGACGCUCCGGCAUCUGGCGCAGAGGCGCCCGGCGGGGAAAAGUUUGCAGCCCGGGCUUUGGGGCGCGCGGGGGGCAGGAAUUUUUCUGAGAAGAGAGGGGCAUAGAGAGGCGGCGCGGGUGGGGAGAGAAAAAAGGAACGCAGGGGGGAGGGGGAAAAGCAGCUUGCAGGAUGGGAGUUUCUUGCAGAAUUUACAGGAUUAAGGAGUUUGGGGAAGUCGCAGAGCUGCAGCGGAAAGGCAGGGGUCUGAGACUACUUUUGAGAAGAGAAACAACGCAAAACGAUCGCUGGAGGGCCAGAGCCCUGGUCGAAGAAGCAGACACAGGUUCCCACGGCGUCUGACGCCUGCGGAGCAAGUCCAGAGCCAGCUGGACUCGCAGCCUCUGGCCCGGCGGCACCAACUCCUCACUGGGUCAUUUUGAGCGCGCUGUGCCCACCUUUUCUGUUGCGUGUGGACGUGGGGAGGAUCUUCUAAGUCCCUCCAACGAAGGCAAGUGUGAGACUCUGGCCCUUUAUUUGUAAGAAGCAAGCCUUCAGAUUGCAGAAGUGUCGCGCGGGUCGCCGUGCGUUGCGCGAGUGGGAAGAUGGAGGAGGCCGGCACGCUGCUUUCGUGGACGCAAGUGAACCGGGCGUGAAGGCAGGGUGCGAGCUCUGCCCUUGGCCCAGCCCUGCGUGGGCGCCGUCCCAGAUUCCGGGCGGUGCGGGGUGCAGAGAUCUGGAGAGACUUGCGGGCUCCCCAGCGCAGGCUGCUCUGGGAUUUCGUUGGAAGAUCCGGCAGAGCCUUGGAGGAGAGGGCCCGGGAGGCUGUGUGUGCAGCGGAAACUUGUACGAAUGCCCCCACAGCGGAAAUGGUGCGCACGAGUAAUUUCUGCGGUGCACCCUUUUAAAAAUUGACAAGUGAACAAGAUCAAUUUUUUAAGAAAGCAAAGGUAGAAAACAAAAGGCGUGCGACUUCUUGACUGGCUUGUUCCCGCCUUUCUUCCUUCUCUAUACUCAGAUCAGAAACUUUUCUUUAAUUGCUCUUAUUCAGUGCGACAACUUUUAAUAAAAGCAUUUGCAUUUUAA
rnacentral:lncRNA from 1 species